UGGGGCUGUUUCUUGGGGCCAGUAUACUCACCAUCGUCGAACUCUUGGAACUAGUGGCCGCAUGUUUGCUGACAAGCCUGACGAUCCUUUGGGCCAGACGUAAACGUCAUGGUUGAGGAACAAAAUGGACCUCGAUUGCUCCAGUCUCGAGGAAGCUGAUCCCUGCUCAGUUGAAUUGUGGAUGUCCCAACAUCAUCGAAUAGAUAUGUGUUUUCUUAAAA